AAUGCUCACAAUGUUUGUGACCGUUCGCGGACUGGAGGUGGCCAGGCCCAGCUGAUGAUUUUAAGCUGCUUCGAGCAAGAGGCUCUAGAGCUUGAGAGGCGCCAUGCACCCAGAUCCACUGGUGUCGGUGAGGCUGGGUUAGAGCGGCCAGCAUCAUCAAAGCAUGGCUGCCAGGAGGAAUUGCAGAUGCCCCUUCUCACACUUGAGGGCCCUUAACUGUCAUCUGCGUGUCACCAUUUUUGCGAGGCAGGCACCAGCGCAGGUACUAGCACAUCGGUGGGCAUUGCAACAUCGGCUAGUGUCCCGGGGCAGAGUGCGGAGGGCAUUUCGCAAUCGCUGGAGGAACUGGCAGAGACACCAUGGAUUAGGCACACCAUGGAUUUCUCACUGGUGCUUUUGUGUUGGCCCUGGAUUAGGGAAUUAUUAUUUGUUAAUGGUUUGAUUUUGUGUGACCUUAUGAUGGUGAAAAUUAAAACCAGAUGCGUUA